rnacentral:rRNA from 1 species
CGUAGGUGGCAAGCGUUGUCCGGAUUUAUUGGGUUUAAAGGGUGCGUAGGCGGUUUCUAAGUCAGCAGUGAAAUACGGCAGCUCAACUGUCGAGGUGCUGUUGAUACUGGGGAACUUGAGUACUGAUGAGGUAGGCGGAAUGGACGGUGUAGCGGUGAAAUGCUUAGAGAUCGUCCAGAACACCGAUAGCGAAGGCAGCUUACUAAGGAGUAACUGACGCUGAGGCACGAAAGUGUGGGGGAUCAAACAGGAUUAGAUACCCUGGUAGUCCACACUGUAAACGAUGAUUACUCGAUGCGUGCGAUACACAGCACGCGUCUUAGCAAAAGCGAUAAGUAAUCCACCUGGGGAGUACGCCGGCAACGGUG